AUUACAUUAGUGAUGAGAAGUCUUUUUAUGUGACCGGUUCAUUAAGACCACUUGAUAAAAAAAAUAACGAAAAACAAUUUGUUUCCCAAAAUGAUUCAGUUUACAUCAACACUUUAAUUACUUUGUAGUUAUUAUAAUCUGUUUCCUCUUCGGUUGAAGUCAUUGGUUUUCAUACAUUACACUUACUACUGUACUUUCUGCUGUUCAUCCUUCAAAUAUAAAUAAUACAUCUGUGUUACACAUACUGCUGAUUUAAGGUGUAUUUAUUAAAUAGAUAUGUAAUAGUAAUACGUGUUUAAUUGAGUUUGUCGUUGUUGUUUAAACAGACACUAAGAUGAAGGACAGUUCUCAGAUGAAUGGUGUUCAUGAUUUGUCGCCUGAUCAUAACGACAGUCCACUGAUGAAUGAUUGUAAAGAGAGCUCUUUUAAUCACAACGAUGCUCGAGAGAACAUUACUAAUCACAUUGAGAUCGAGCCCGAGGCUGCCAGUGAGAUUUAAUUUUUUUAUUACUUUUGAACCAAGGAAUCAUUCUUUCCAAAAUUCCAAAAUUGUAAGGUUUGCAUUUUUUUUUUUGUAUUUUAUAUUUUUGCUAUUGAAAUGCUAUUGCUAUUGAAACACAUUGACGUGUCCUUGUUAAACUUGAAGUGUUUUUACCACCGUUCCCUCAUUGUACUCAAAAAGAUGAUUAAUAGCUUUUGUUUGCGUUCGUUUAUCGUCGUGGAUAGAAGAAAUACUUUUUAUACGGCACCACUACUAUAUCUGUGAAAAGCGUUGAUGAAAUGACAACAGACUCUGUGCCUGAGUUCUAUUGCUAUUGUCCUCUCACAAAGGAAAUACUAAUAUUAUUUCAUUACAGCGCCACCUGUUGGUCAAAAGUGAUAAGCAGCUCUAACCCUAGUUAGAUCUCACCUGUCCGUAGUUUCUCUGAACCCUUCACUCUAAAAUCAGCAACAACUUGUCUAAAGUGUUCUACCACAAUCUAGAACUCAGUACUCAUACAUUGUUUACUACCUUGAUGGCACACGCACAUCAGAGACGUCAGUUUUAAAUCGGCAAGUAA